rnacentral:rRNA from 1 species
UGGGGAAUUGUUCGCAAUGGGCGCAAGCCUGACGACGCAACGCCGCGUGGAGGAUGAAGGUCUUCGGAUCGUAAACUCCUGUUGCCCGGGACGAAUAGCUUCGACCUAACACGUCGGAGUAUGACGGUACCGGGUGAGGAAGCCCCGGCUAACUCUGUGCCAGCAGCCGCGGUAAUACAGAGGGGGCAAGCGUUGUUCGGAAUUACUGGGCGUAAAGGGCGCGUAGGCGGCCUGUUAAGUCGAACGUGAAAUCCCUGGGCUCAACCCAGGAACUGCGUCCGAUACUGGCUGGCUUGAAUCCGGGAGAGGGAUGCGGAAUUCCAGGUGUAGCGGUGAAAUGCGUAGAUAUCUGGAGGAACACCGGUGGCGAAGGCGGCAUCCUGGACCGGUAUUGACGCUGAGGCGCGAAAGCCAGGGGAGCAAACGGGAUUAGAUACCCAAGUAGUCCCUGAGCGGGCUGGCAAGGCGCAU